UACAGAGGUCUCAAGCGUUGUUCGGAUUCAUUGGGCGUAAAGGGUGCGUAGGCGGCGCGGUAAGUCGGGUGUGAAAUCUCGGAGCUUAACUCCGAAACUGCAUUCGAUACUGCCGUGCUUGAGGACAGGAGAGGGAAGUGGAAUUCCCGGUGUAGUGGUGAAAUGCGUAGAUAUCGGGAGGAACACCAGUGGCGAAGGCGACUUUCUGGCCUGUUCUUGACGCUGAGGCGCGAAAGCUAGGGGAGCAAACGGG
rnacentral:rRNA from 1 species